CUACCUGACCUAGCGGCGGACGGGUGAGUAAUGCUUAGGAAUCUGCCUAUUAGUGGGGGACAACAUUCCGAAAGGAAUGCUAAUACCGCAUACGCCCUACGGGGGAAAGCAGGGGAUCUUCGGACCUUGCGCUAAUAGAUGAGCCUAAGUCAGAUUAGCUAGUUGGUGGGGUAAAGGCCUACCAAGGCGACGAUCUGUAGCGGGUCUGAGAGGAUGAUCCGCCACACUGGGACUGAGACACGGCCCAGACUCCUACGGGAGGCAGCAGUGGGGAAUAUUGGACAAUGGGCGAAAGCCUGAUCCAGCCAUGCCGCGUGUGUGAAGAAGGCCUUUUGGUUGUAAAGCACUUUAAGCGAGGAGGAGGCUACUUGGAUUAAUACUCUAGGAUAGUGGACGUUACUCGCAGAAUAAGCACCGGCUAACUCUGUGCCAGCAGCCGCGGUAAUACAGAGGGUGCGAGCGUUAAUCGGAUUUACUGGGCGUAAAGCGUGCGUAGGCGGCUUUUUAAGUCGGAUGUGAAAUCCCUGAGCUUAACUUAGGAAUUGCAUUCGAUACUGGGAAGCUAGAGUAUGGGAGAGGAUGGUAGAAUUCCAGGUGUAGCGGUGAAAUGCGUAGAGAUCUGGAGGAAUACCGAUGGCGAAGGCAGCCAUCUGGCCUAAUACUGACGCUGAGGUACGAAAGCAUGGGGAGCAAACAGGAUUAGAUACCCUGGUAGUCCAUGCCGUAAACGAUGUCUACUAGCCGUUGGGGCCUUUGAGGCUUUAGUGGCGCAGCUAACGCGAUAAGUAGACCGCCUGGGGAGUACGGUCGCAAGACUAAAACUCAAAUGAAUUGACGGGGGCCCGCACAAGCGGUGGAGCAUGUGGUUUAAUUCGAUGCAACGCGAAGAACCUUACCUGGUCUUGACAUAGUAAGAACUUUCCAGAGAUGGAUUGGUGCCUUCGGGAACUUACAUACAGGUGCUGCAUGGCUGUCGUCAGCUCGUGUCGUGAGAUGUUGGGUUAAGUCCCGCAACGAGCGCAACCCUUUUCCUUAUUUGCCAGCGGGUUAAGCCGGGAACUUUAAGGAUACUGCCAGUGACAAACUGGAGGAAGGCGGGGACGACGUCAAGUCAUCAUGGCCCUUACGACCAGGGCUACACACGUGCUACAAUGGUCGGUACAAAGGGUUGCUACCUAGCGAUAGGAUGCUAAUCUCAAAAAGCCGAUCGUAGUCCGGAUUGGAGUCUGCAACUCG
rnacentral:rRNA from 1 species